CAUGUGCCCCAUGCAGAACAGAGGCAGAUGUGUGCUCGUGUUAAUCUAACCUUCACCUGCAUCUUCGUCAGGAACGGGUAGGAAGAAAACAGACAGGGUGCACUGUGGAGAAGUCCAGAGAGGAUUGGGAGCAGCUGGUCAUAUCCACAGUCAAGAACAGAGAGAGAAUGAACAUAUGGCUGCCCGUGCAGGACCCCGGACUUAGGGGAUGGUACCGCCCACGGUAGGAUAGAUUUCUCUUAUUGCAAUGAUCAAUCAAGCCAAACCCUCACUGAGCCUCUUCCCUGAUGAUUCUAGCUUGUUUUGACAACUAAAACUUUUAUGCUUGGUG
rnacentral:lncRNA from 1 species